UACAACUUUCAACAACGGAUCUCUUGGCUCUCGCAUCGAUGAAGAACGCAGCGGAAUGCGAUACGUAAUGUGAAUUGCAGAAUUCAGUGAAUCAUCGAAUCUUUGAACGCACCUUGCGCCCCUUGGCAUUCCGAGGGGCACACCCGUUUGAGUGUCGUG
rnacentral:rRNA from 1 species